rnacentral:rRNA from 1 species
UACGGAGGGGGCGAGCGUUGUUCGGAAUUACUGGGCGUAAAGGGCGUGCAGGCGGUCUUUCAAGUCAGAUGUGAAAGCCCGGGGCUCAACCCCGGAACAGCAUUUGAGACUGGAAGGCUGGGGUUCGGGAGAGAUGAGCGGAAUUCCGGGUGUAGAGGUGAAAUUCGUAGAUAUCCGGAAGAACACCGAUGGCGAAGGCAGCUCACUGGACCGAUACCGACGCUGAGGCGCGAAAGCGUGGGGAGCAAACAGG